CAUGGGCCCGUCUCCUUGGUCGUGUUCGUGUGUUGGGAUCUUCUCUGUGUUCCUUAUGGCGUUAGGUAGGGCCUCUCUGCUAGGCAGCACCGCAGUAGCUACAAUGCUGGUAGAAGCAAGCCAACAAUUACCUGCCAGAAGCUCUCCAUCUGGUCUCUAUUUUGCAGCUGGCGGCAACAACAACACUACCAAAGUAUGGUGCGCCCAGGCCUCAUGUCAUAAAUUUAUUUAGCCAUGCUCACUACAACUUUUUAGUUAAUUUCAGUUUUAGUGCUAAAUAUGUAUACGGUAUCGUUUAUAGGUGGUGCUGCAUUGUAGCUUUAUGGAAUCCUUUUGGACUUCAAAAACUAGGACCCGUGUAAACUGUUGGUGGUUUGUACUUCGUAGCUUCAUAAGAGUCAGACUAAUUACAUUUUUAAUGUCAUGAACUUAUUUUA